rnacentral:rRNA from 1 species
UACGUAGGGUGCAAGCGUUAAUCGGAAUUACUGGGCGUAAAGCGUGCGUAGGCGGUUUGUUAAGUCUGAUGUGAAAGCCCCGGGCUCAACCUGGGAAUGGCAUUGGAUACUGGCAAUCUAGAAUGUGGUAGAGGGUGGCGGAAUUCCCGGUGUAGCAGUGAAAUGCGUAGAUAUCGGGAGGAACAUCCGUGGCGAAGGCGGCCACCUGGACCAGCACUGACGUUGAGGCACGAAAGCGUGGGGAGCAAACAGG